rnacentral:misc_RNA from 1 species
UUUCCGUAGGUGAACCUGCGGAAGGAUCAUUCAUAAUAAAGUGUUUUAUGGCACUUUUUAAAAAUCCAUAUCCACCUUGUUUGCACUGUUAGAUCUCGUCAAUCUUGGCGAGAUUUUUAUACAUCAACUCAUUCUUUAACUAAUUUGUCUGAAAAAUAUUAUGAAUACUUAAUUCAAAAUACAACUUUCAACAACGGAUCUCUUGGCUCUC